rnacentral:tRNA from 1 species
GCCCGGUUAGCUCAGCGGCAGAGCAGCGCCUUCACGCGGCGUUGGCCGGAGGUUCGAGUCCUCCACCGGGCA